rnacentral:lncRNA from 1 species
GGGUUUAAUUUACAAUUGAGAAAAAAAUGGUAUUCACCAUCUCCCGCAUGUGAUAUCUGUUUUGCUUUAUCUUAAAGGAAUACUUAAUUUUAUUGUACAGUUUAUCAUAAUUUUCAAGAUCUUCAGCAUAACAUUCGGUCUCUUUCAAUAUAUUUGGAGGAGAUGUAUAACCAUCAUUAUGCAGUGACAUAUUUAAUUGAAAAGCCUCUUUAACAAACUAAUAUCAAAUACUGUUCUUGCCAUAUAAAUGAAAAACAUGAUCUGAGACAAACAUAUAUAUACAAAAAUAGGAUUAAUAUCAUUGGUAUAUAAUUUAAAAACAUUUAUAUAUCUUAAUGAAUAAAGCCAUAGAAAUCUACCAAAUUCUGUUCUCGCUUACAUAUAACAUGCAGUUUUCCUUAGCCUUAGUACAGAUCUUUAGUAUUUAUUAUGAAUCAUUUCACAUGUUUCAUAGCAAGUACAAAGUAUCACAAACAAAACAUUUAAGACAGUUUAACCAAUUUAGUUUUUAAUCCAUAUUGAAUCCUAGAAUUUUUUUAGCCUAAACCGACCUCUAAACGAUCCAUGACUCUGUAAUAAAGAAUGAUUUAUCUGUU